CCCCUCCCCUUCUCCUCUCUCCAGAUCCGGUCGCCCCUCCUCCCGCCACCUCCGCCUUCCCCCGGCCUCCCUCCUCCCGCCGGUGCCCCUCCUCGGGUCCGCCGCCACCAGAUCCGCUACGCACCUCUUCGGAUCCGGCGCAAUCUGUCGUGGCCCCACCCUCCCCUUCUCCGGCCUAGGGCUCCGGCGGCAGCGCGGUCGAGGCUAGCCUGGGGCUCAGCCUGGGGCUCUGGCGGCUGUGUGGGCGGUCGCGGCGGCGGUGGCCUGGCGGCGGAAGGCCUCCCCUCCUGGAUCUGGCAGCCCCUCCCCUCCCUGUUCCGCCCGCAAGUCCACCGGAGGGAAGGCCCCCCGCAAGCAGCUCGCCAUCAAGGCGGCGAGGAAGUUCGCGCCGACGACCGGCGGCGUGAAGAAGAGCACGGAGCUCCUGAUCCGCAAGCUCCCGGCGACGACGAGCGUGGUGGAGGCUGCGUGGUGGUGGUUGUAGCGGCGACGGGCGUGGCGGAGGCUGCGUGGUGGUGUGGCGACGGCGGCGUGGUUGUGUGGCGACGGGAAAGGGUGGCGGCGGCCAUAGAGUGUUGGCUACUCUUUUUUUUUAUUUUUUUCGAAAAUAAAGUUUGCCGAGUGUUUUUUGGCACUCGGCGAAAGCUUUGCCGAGUGCCCGACCAGAACACUCAGCAAAAAGUAACUUUGCCGACUGAAAGUUUGCCAUGUGCCGUUUGCCGAGUAUUACACUCGGCAAACGGUUCGUCGAGUGUUUUUUGCCCUUCGCCGAGUGCCAGGGGCACUCGGCAAUUAUCUUGUGUCCCGUAGUGAUGUGGUCUCUUGGAAAAGUGCUAAAUACUCCUGAGGUUGUGCGUGUGUACAUUGGGUAAUUACUUAUGGCUAUUCUUUGUUACUUUAUGGUUCAGUGCAAUCCAGUCACUGCAGGUCAAUGAGUUUGUCAAGCGCGCUAGAGCUGCCAAGAUCCAUGUAUGUAUGAAUAAUAUGUAUCUUUAUCAGCAGUAGUAGUCUGAUAGCAUUUGCAUAGAGUUUUUUUUACCUUUUGCUUCUCGUUGUAGUUUGCACUCGUGCCGUGACAUGGGUAUGUAUGGUGUAAAUAAUCCAAUGAAUUUAUUUAAUA